UACAGAGGGUGCAAGCGUUGUUCGGAAUUAUUGGGCGUAAAGGGCGCGUAGGCGGCGCUGUAAGUCAGAUGUGAAAUCCCAGGGCUCAACCCUGGAAGUGCGUCUGAUACUGCAGUGCUUGAGUCCUGGAGAGGGUAGUGGAAUUCCCAGUGUAGAGGUGAAAUUCGUAGAUAUUGGGAGGAAUACCGGUGGCGAAGGCGACUACCUGGACAGAGACUGACGCUGAGGCGCGAAAGCGUGGGGAGCAAACAGG
rnacentral:rRNA from 1 species